GACCUUUUGCUGGGUAGAGCAGCUGAAAUGUCACGAAGAGUGGGAUGAUACUUCUGAAACGCUGCCCCUGAGGAACAUUGUAGCCAUAUUAAAUGGAUGCGGUGAAAAUUGUGGGUGUCUCCUUCUAGCAAGCAUUGCAAGGAAACUCAUUUUUACAACAACAGAUUUAUACUGCAUAGACUCCUACACACGGACUGCUCACACAAUUGUUCACUAACUGCAUUUGACAAAAAGAAAAUGUUUGGAGUGGUCAUUUCGAUCUUUGGCUUAAAAACAUAACGGCAAACAAAACAGUGAAAGCAAACUGAAAACAGCCAUGAGAAAACAGUUAUGGUUGUAUGGAUGGAUGCCCAGAGGAGCAAGUGAUCAGCUGGAGUUACCAGUGAAUGGAACCAGCUAUUUGGUGAGAAACGGAGAAAGUAUAAACUCAGUUACAUGAAGACACAUGAAGAUUAUUCAACAGAAAAUUGUAUAGUGUUACUUUUUUUAAAACCUUGAUUUUUUUUACAGUAUA